CAAAACCCUUGAUGUCCCCCAUCUGCAAAGUCCCUUUUGCCUUGUUUAGGGGAUUAGGACAUGGGCAUCCUUGGGGGGCCGUUAUUCUGCCUGCCACAUCCUCAGGAUGGAAAUGUCUCUCUUGCAAUGGCUGCUGUGAUGAUUAAAGGGAAAAAAAAAACAUGUUAAGCCCCAGCACACAGUAGGACUCCAUGAAUGCUGGCCAAUUGGACAGAAGCAUCUAAGACGCUCAUGGUAGGUGAUUGUCACACUUUACUCUACCUGCCAUUAUGUCCCUUUAUUUAUUGGCUGACGGUCCCUCUCCUCUUAGGGAACAUCACCCCCGCCAGUGCAGGGACUGUUCUGUUCACUGCUGCAUCCCCUGUGCUGGGGAAGAGCGAAGCACACAGUAGGUGCUCAAUAUUUGCUGAAUGAAUGAGUAUUAAUUUUUUUCACCAUGAAUAAGAAGCCCUGGUCACCAGAUGGAGACUGUGCCUGUCAAAGUGUGCUCUCCCCAGGCUUCCCCAUGAGACUGUGAUGGCACAGAAAGCUGGUAUUUGUUUCACUCUGACACCCAAACAGGUGGCUCAGGAGUUGGGAUGGUUAAAGGAUUCUGUCAUCUGAGGGCAGAUUCCAGAAAGACGAGGUUCUGCUUGGUGGGCAACUUUGAAACAGGCAACUGAAGAAAUCUGGGUUCUGCCACCUGGGAGUGUGGGCACAUGAUGUGGGAUCAGGAUGUAGGAACUGAGUUCAAAAAACGGAAAAGCAUGUGGAAAAUUGAACAUCGAGUAAUCGGUCUCUAGCAGCGUGUCCAGAAGGAGGCAGGGUGGUCUUUCUGACUGUCUUCCACGCCCCCCAGAGAAUGGUCAGUGCAGGCUCCGUGAAGAAUGCCCCUCUGGGGCGUGGGCAAGAGGGGGUCUCACCAUGCUGCCUUGGAAACUGGCGCCACACCCUCUCCAGGUGCUCAAGAUGGCGCCACCCAGUUGGGUCUUUCCUGAGCAGCUCAAAUGCUACUAUUGCCUCAUGGAAGCUCCAGGAGACCCCACCCUCCACAAAUCACACAGCCCCGCCCCCGUGCUCCCACAGCCCCGGGGGAUGAAGGCCCAGCAACGAGGUGCCCAGACGUGGUGUUGAGGGCUGCCCCUACGGCCGGCAUGGCCUUUCCUGGAAGAUCUGAGGGACAGCCCCUCUGUGCAGUGUUUUGAAAAGGGAAUUUAAGACCCAGAAAAAUGGUGAUUUCUUCAUGGCCUGAUAAAAAGAACAAGAUUUGGUUCCCAUCCCAGCUCUGCCACCUCCUAGCCAUGUGACUUUGAGCAAGUCCACACAAGGCAGCGGCCUGUUUAUCAACAGGAAAGGAGGAUGGCGAGCACGUCAUGGAGCCUCGGGACCACAAGGGCCAAGGGCAUUCUGAUGUUUUCGGCCUCAUGGAAGCUGUCCAGAGCCGGUCUCCAGCACUCCAGGGCUGUAGCCACCAGGCCUGCUGGGAAGGGAAUGGACAGCUUUUCACUUUUUCUUAGCGGGGCCCUGGCUUCGGGGCCAGGAGGGGCUCCCAACUGCCUGCGGAACGGAGGCCCAGUUCCAAUCUGGCCUCUUGACAGUAAGCUCUCUCCUCGGGAAGCCCUGGCAUCCUGGGCCAUGCCUGAGGCCUUCCAGGGUGCCCCGAGUGUGGACUAGUCUUCCUCUGACCUCUCCAAACCAACUGCUCCCCUUGCUGUCAAAAUGGGGCAAACCCCACACCCUCCCAGCAGCCUUCCUGCCCCCAUCUCCUACCACAGGCUGGAAGGUCCCCGCUCUCUGGGCUCCCACACUUCUGACUCUGAACCAGGGCUACUCACGUCUGACUUGUGCGAUUUUCCUUGGGGCGGGCCCUGGGUUUGACUCCAACUGUGGGAUUACAGCGUCUGCUCAGCAUCACAGUGCAAUAAAUAUUUGCUCAAGGGCGGCAA